GAGCAGUGUUAAAAUCUCCUAUUAAUGUGUAAUGUACCUGUCAGUGCCUCCUUUAUUAAGGGGUUCUUUGAGAAUAAAAGAGAAAAGACCUACUUUAUUUGACAGCAAAACUGUUCUAAUUGUUAAUAAGGACUUUUAAAAAUUGUUUUUGAUUUGCUAAGCUCAGAAAAAAUGUCUCUCAGUGCAUCAGUUCUUUGUAAAGCUUACUACGAAGUAUUUAUAUGCUAAGGAAAACAACUGAGGAUGUGGGUGGCUUAAAUCUGUAUUUUCAUCAUGUAUGUGAGUUUUUUUUUUUUUAAGUAAAGAAAUUUUCUGCAAAGAUCGUUACCUUAAAAAAGUUUAGCCUGGGCGUGAGCCACCGCGUCCGGCCGAACAUUAGUUUUUAAAGAAAUGUAUUAUGAAUAUAGAUAGAAAACCCAAAGUGAAGGAAUAGAAAAUGAAAUAUCAGUUUCUUUUAAUCUAUCAUAAUUAUGUGAGCAUAACUUAGUAUUUUGAAAUAGAUUAAUGUAGUCAGCAAACAAUUCAUGUAUUACCUAUAAUAGAUAUCAUACAUAUAACAUUUAAUAACAUACAGUUCUUGUUCCUGAAGACUUAACCUAGAAAAUAACUCCAUAACAAGAAGAAUCUCUGUCAUAAUAAACCAACAGCAGACAUUUUCUAAAGGCAUUAAAAGUAUAUCUGAUACUGGCCUUUAUUAAUGUGAAAUUCUUGUGGAUCUGUGAAAUAAAGAGGAGUACUUUCUUUU
rnacentral:lncRNA from 1 species